GUAAAUAUAUCAAGUACGUAUAGAAAGUAAUGGUAGAAUUACGUUCCGUUUUCCAUAAAAUAUGCUACAUGGGGAGCACAGGAUAUUAGAAUUUUGAACGGAGUGAUCGUGAUUGCUCGACCCCUACCACAUCGUUAUUCCGAUUCCAUGGACUUCUAUUUCGUUUUCCAUGUACGAAACGGCUUCCUAAAAGUAAAAUAGGGAAGGCCCAAUUUAUCUGGUAGAUGUGUGAGACACAUGAAAUGACUUAAAUGUGACUUAACUCCUUAAAGCAAAAAUGAUUUGACAGAUUAAUGUCUGUUGCCUCCUGCGUUAAUCGAAGCUUAAACUCUUGUUACCCUAUCUUAAAACUAUAUUUAAAAACUUGAACCAGGCUUAAACCACACGCCGUGUAUAAGGUAGAAGAACAAGAAUACAUAACAAUCCCAUGCUAAGUAAACAUACUGAUUUUCAAUUAUGACAAGAAAAUUUCAAAAAUUGUUAGAAGUAAUAUUGAAAACAGUCAACAAGUCACAUGUAACAUAUAUGAGUAGUUCUAUAAUAAAAAAUGCUCGGACGGUGUUAAGUAAUACAAAAACUCUGGCAUCUGUAAAAUGUGAUAACAUAGUGAAGGUUCUUUCAUAAGAGCAUAUUAAUAAUAGCACAUUAUUACAAGAAAUACAUGCUGCUUCCUUGGAGUCUACCAAGCCAAUACCAUAUCAGCUAGGUAAUUGGUGGCAAUGGUACCAACACUUGACAGGCUUAGAUGUGGUACAAACAGCAAAACAUAGAGUCAACCAAGUACAAGAUAUUUUGUUUAAGUGUCAAGAAGAACGGAGAAAACUUACUCGUGAGGUGGCCCAUAUCAAUAAAAGUUUGAGGGAUAUUUAUGAAGAGUUGGUUCAAACCUGGCGUGAGGACCCAAAAUAUAUGGACCUCACUAUCUUAGAUAAUAAACAUUUAAAGGCCAAACUUGCAAUUAGUAGUCAUCUGGUUCUCCUUGAGAAUGAAGAAAGAGACCUCAUCACGCAACUGGCAAUAGCUAUUAAAGACUACCAAGUCUUAGACAAGAAAGACUAUAAAUGCACAAAAAUAUAAGUAUCUAUCAAUCAUUAGCUCGGCAGUACUAGCUAUAAUAUCUAUAAUUGGUGCCACAGUAUAUAAUAACAUUACAAUGAAAUUGAGUGCGACAACUGAAUAAAAUUUAAAAGAUAACUCAAGCAGAAAACAUCUAGAAAUACUGUCACGAUUACCUCAAAAAAGAGAAGCCUCAGAUUCUGGUACUGAAGAAAAUUCUGGGUAUGGUGUUAUGAAAGCACUUAGUUAUGUUGGAUGGGGAAUAGGAUCCUGAUUCUUUUGGAAAAAAUAUUGGUUGAUAAAUUAAAGAUGGACUAGAUGGCAUAUAUUGAAAGUUUUACAAUACUAUUGUAAAUAUACUAUAUCUGCUGUCAUUUCUUACCCAAUUAUGAUACUAUAAUAUUUUUAAAGUGUAUAAUUAACUUAUAAAAGAGAUAAAGACUUACUCAAUUGUAUAUACUGAAAAUAUUGUUCUUAUUUAAAAAAUAAAAGUGAGACUGAACUGUAAAA